rnacentral:rRNA from 1 species
AGGGUGACAGCCCCGUACACAAAAAUGCACAUGCUGUGAGCUCGAUGAGUAGGGCGGGACACGUGGUAUCCUGUCUGAAUAUGGGGGGACCAUCCUCCAAGGCUAAAUACUCCUGACUGACCGAUAGUGAACCAGUACCGUGAGGGAAAGGCGAAAAGAACCCCGGCGAGGGGAGUGAAAAAGAACCUGAAACCGUGUACGUACAAGCAGUGGGAGCACGCUUAGGCGUGUGACUGCGUACCUUUUGUAUAAUGGGUCAGCGACUUAUAUUCUGUAGCAAGGUUAACCGAAUAGGGGAGCCGAAGGGAAACCGAGUCUUAACUGGGCGUUAAGUUGCAGGGUAUAGACCCGAAACCCGGUGAUCUAGCCAUGGGCAGGUUGAAGGUUGGGUAACACUAACUGGAGGACCGAACCGACUAAUGUUGAAAAAUUAGCGGAUGACUUGUGGCUGGGGGUGAAAGGCCAAUCAAACCGGGAGAUAGCUGGUUCUCCCCGAAAGCUAUUUAGGUAGCGCCUCGUGAAUUCAUCUCCGGGGGUAGAGCACUGUUUCGGCAAGGGGGUCAUCCCGACUUACCAACCCGAUGCAAACUGCGAAUACCGGAGAAUGUUAUCACGGGAGACACACGGCGGGUGCUAACGUCCGUCGUGAAGAGGGAAACAACCCAGACCGCCAGCUAAGGUCCCAAAGUCAUGGUUAAGUGGGAAACGAUGUGGGAAGGCCCAGACAGCCAGGAUGUUGGCUUAGAAGCAGCCAUCAUUUAAAGAAAGCGUAAUAGCUCACUGGUCGAGUCGGCCUGCGCGGAAGAUGUAACGGGGCUAAACCAUGCACCGAAGCUGCGGCAGCGACGCUGAUGCGUUGUUGGGUAGGGGAGCGUUCUGUAAGCCUGCGAAGGUGUGCUGUGAGGCAUGCUGGAGGUAUCAGAAGUGCGAAUGCUGACAUAAGUAACGAUAAAGCGGGUGAAAAGCCCGCUCGCCGGAAGACCAAGGGUUCCUGUCCAACGUUAAUCGGGGCAGGGUGAGUCGACCCCUAAGGCGAGGCCGAAAGGCGUAGUCGAUGGGAAACAGGUUAAUAUUCCUGUACUUGGUGUUACUGCGAAGGGGGGACGGAGAAGGCUAUGUUGGCCGGGCGACGGUUGUCCCGGUUUAAGCGUGUAG